rnacentral:lncRNA from 1 species
AGAUUGUCAGCUCGGACACCACUUUCUGCACCAAGCUAAAAAGACAAUGACAUAUGAGACUCUGUAAUGGCCCUUUGCACAGUAUUGUCGGAGACACUAUGAAAUACGUAUAUGAGAAAAGACUGAUUGGAGCAGACAGCUGUUUCUCUUGGAGAGCUCUGCUGCAAACAAUUCAUAACAGAGAUGUUAGCGAAGGAGCGUGACAAGGGAGGGUACACUAAUGACUAUGAAUCCAACUGAAGCCACUGCAGCAAAGAGCCUGGAUAAAAAUUUUCAAGCAGUAUUAUGAGCAAACCACUGAAUAUCAGUUUCUACCGAGGAGUACUUGCCACGAGGACAUCGGUGCAUUAAAACCGUGUUUCCUCCCACG